rnacentral:rRNA from 1 species
CCUACGGGAGGCAGCAGUGAGGAAUAUUGGUCAAUGGACGAGAGUCUGAACCAGCCAAGUAGCGUGAAGGAUGACUGCCCUAUGUGUUGUAAACUUCUUUUAUAUGGGAAUAAAACAGGGUAUGCAUACACUCUUGUAUGUACCAUAUGAAUAAGGAUCGGCUAACUACGUGCCAGCAGCCGCGGUCAUACGGAGGAUCCGAGCGUUAUCCGGAUUGAUGGGGUUUAAAGGGAGCGUAGGUGGAUUGUUAAGUCAGUUGUGAAAGUUUGCGGCGCAACAGUAAAAUUGCAGUUGAAAAUGGCAGUCUUGAGUACAGUAGAGGUGGGCGGAAUUCGUGGUGUAGCGGUGAAAUGCUUAGAUAUCACGAAGAACUCCGAUUGCGAAGGCAGCUCACUGGACUGCAACUGACACUGAUGCUCGAAAGUGUGGGUAGCAAACAGGAUUAGAUACCCCUGUAGUC